GAUGAACGCUGGCGGCGUGCCUAAAAACAUGCAAGUCGAGCGGUAAGGCUCUGCACUUAGUGUUUGAUCGAGAUGACACAGUUAUCACAGUUGACUAAUUGGAACCUUGGCGGGGGAAGAACGGAAGAGGAAGAUCGAAUCAUAAGUGUAGAGUACACGAGCGGCGGACGGGUGAGUAACACGUGGGAAUCUACCCCAAACUGAGGGAUAAGCACCGGAAACGGUGUCUAAUACCGCAUAUGGUCUUCGGAUUAAAGCUUCGGCGGUUUGGGAAGAGCCCGCGUAAGAUUAGCUAGUUGGUGAGGUAAAGGCUCACCAAGGCGACGAUCUUUAGCUGGUUUGAGAGGAUGAUCAGCCACACUGGAACUGAGACACGGUCCAGACUCCUACGGGAGGCAGCAGUUAGGAAUUUUCCACAAUGGGCGAAAGCCUGAUGGAGCAACGCCGCGUGCAGGAUGAAGGUUUUCGGAUUGUAAACUGCUUUUAUGUGCGAAGAAUAUGAAC
rnacentral:rRNA from 1 species